rnacentral:tRNA from 1 species
AGAAAAAACUUGGAGUGAAAUGGGGCUGCUAACUUCGUUUUGGGUAAUUCGAUUUUAUCCUUUUUCUU